rnacentral:rRNA from 1 species
UCUAUGUUGCCAGCACGUUAUGGUGGGGACUCAGUGGAGACCGCCGGGGUCAACUCGGAGGAAGGUGGGGAUGACGUCAAGUCCUCAUGGCCCUUACGGGUUGGGCUACACACGUGCUACAAUGGCAUCAACAAUGGGUUAAUCCCCAAAAGAUGUCUCAGUUCGGAUUGGGGUCUGCAACUCGACCCCAUGAAGUCGGAAUCGCUAGUAAUCGCGUAACAGCAUGACGCGGUGAAUACGUUCCCGGGCCUUGUACACACCGC